rnacentral:rRNA from 1 species
AUUGAACGCUGGCGGCAUGCCUUACACAUGCAAGUCGAACGGCAGCACGGGUGCUUGCACCUGGUGGCGAGUGGCGAACGGGUGAGUAAUACAUCGGAACAUGUCCUGUAGUGGGGGAUAGCCCGGCGAAAGCCGGAUUAAUACCGCAUACGAUCUACGGAUGAAAGCGGGGGACCUUCGGGCCUCGCGCUAUCGGGUUGGCCGAUGGCUGAUUAGCUAGUUGGUGGGGUAAAGGCCUACCAAGGCGACGAUCAGUAGCUGGUCUGAGAGGACGACCAGCCACACUGGGACUGAGACACGCCCCAGACUCCUACGGGAGGCAGCAGUGGGGAAUUUUGGACAAUGGGCGAAAGCCUGAUCCAGCAAUGCCGCGGGGGUGAAGAAGGCCUUCGGGUUGUAAAGCACUUUUGUCCGGAAAGAAAUCCUUGGCCCUAAUACGGUCGGGGGAUGACGGUACCGGAAGAAUAAGCACCGGCUAACUACGU